CUUCCUGUACAACAUCAAGUAGGUAUGUUUUGAAAAGCGCGAAGUUUCUUACUCUUCUUCUUGAAACGGAUCCGCUGUCCUGAGCGCACGAAGUCACUGGACUGUGGUCAUGCUGGGGCACCGCCUUAAAGGGUUCAGUCGAGCAAAUCCACUCCAAAACUUAUUUUUGAGUUUGGUAUUAUUUUAUCAAGGCGGAGAGCUGACGGAAUCGUAAGUACGAUGAACCGAAUGUUCAGCGGCAUUUCUUCCGGCUGUUUACAUUCCGAGUUCAAAUCAUAUCAACAUAAACUUUGCCUUUCAGCCUUUCGGGGUCCAUAAAAUAAUGUGCCUGUCAGGUACACCUUUCUCAAUGUGAUCGGCUUGAAAAAUUGUUAAUACACUAGGAUAUAUUCCUACUUUUCUUAACAUGAAACCAAUGGUAGCCUUAAUCCAGAAAUAAAGAAAUUAUAUCCACCUA